CUCGUAGGCGGUUCGGUAAGUCGGGUGUGAAACCUCCAGGCUCAACCUGGAGACGCCACCCGAUACUGCUGUGACUAGAGUCCAGUAGGGGAGCGUGGAAUUCCUGGUGUAGCGGUGAAAUGCGCAGAUAUCAGGAGGAACACCAGCGGCGAAGGCGGCGCUCUGGGCUGGAACUGACGCUGAGGAGCGAAGCGUGGGAGCGAACA
rnacentral:rRNA from 1 species